AUUGAACGCUAGCGGCAUGCCUAACACAUGCAAGUCGAACGAGUGGCGGACGGGUGAGUAAUGUCUCGGAAACUGCCCAGUGGAGGGGGAUAACUACUCGAAACGGUAGCUAAUACCGCAUACUAUCGGCGGUGCCGAUAUGGGAUUAGCUAGUUGGUGGGGUAAAGGCUCCCCAAGGCAACGAUCCGUAGCUGGUCUGAGAGGAUGACCAGCCACACUGGGACUGAGACACGGCCCAGACUCCUACGGGAGGCAGCAGUGGGGAAUAUUGGACAAUGGGGGAAAGCCUGAUGCAGCCAUCCCGCGUGUAUGAAGAAGGCCUUCGGGUUGUAAAGUACUUUUGGCAGGGAAGCGGUAUCCGCAGAAUAAGCACCGGCUAACUACGUGCCAGCAGCCGCGGUAAUAC
rnacentral:rRNA from 1 species